UGGAUCAUGAACUUUAAUAUACUUUUUUGCUCUUAAUUUUAAUAUAAAUGUCAGGAUUAAAAUCUAACUAAAAGGAAACCCAUUUGCAAUUUUAAGAGGAAAAAAUUUUACUUUUACUGCUUAAAGUUUAAAUUAAAACACAAAAUUUAAAUUCGAAUGGCCAUUCAAAAACACAUUAUGUAUAUAAAAUACUUUUUGAAGGAUAUUUAAAAAACUAUGUAGAUGUUUCAUUGUCUAUCUACUUUCUGUUAUUAUUAUUAUUAUAUUAAUUUAUAAAAUAUCCAGGCUUUGGGUAUAUACCCUUGAGAAUUUUCCCAUCCCACAUCGCUAAUUUUGUGUCUUCUACCUGUUUUAUUAUUAUGAUUAAAUGGGAUAUUUUGUCAAAAAUUCACCAAGAUAAAAAAUAUAUAUAUAUUGUGACGAAGGUGAGAAGAAUAACAAAUCAGAAAGCAACACUAUAUCAAGUUUAUUAGCUUUAAGCAACUCUAACCUGCAGGCGAAGAACUGACACUACGGCUUGCGGAACUCGGAAUUUAUACCUUUACGGAAUAAUCUAGAAUUAUAAAGAAGGUUUUAGAAAGUUCUGGAAGCUUAUAGAAUAUUAACAAAUGAAUAAUAAGAUUUUCAGAUUAAAGUUCAACAUUUAAAUUAAUGGGAUUUCGCUUUCGUUCUAACCCAUGACCUUGUUCGUUGCAAGCGCGUUCUUUACCUCCGAGCAACGCUGACUAUCUGCAGAUCUUUCUUGUGCGACAAGAUUUUGAACACAAGGCAUCAGCAUUAUUUAAUGAUUAAAUUACUGUAAUUUUUUCCUGUAACAAAGUGAGUGAAAAUAUGUGAUUUUUAUAAGUUUUAUAUUAGGCUAAUACCUUUUUUCAUUAUUUUUGCAACUUAUUUUUUACAAAAUGCAUUGCUCUGACAGAAUUUCAAUUUGUUCCUAAAAAAUGAUAAUUAGGCAUUAAGAAUAACAAUUUUUAAGACCAGUUAAGAUUCAUCUAGUGGUUUUUAAAACAAAUGAAUUUGAUUCCUUGAAAAUGUUACUAGUAAGCCAGUACGGACAACUUGCCGAGCUUCUAGUGACUUCAUAUAAGCAAGAGUGUGUAAGAACGAUUCUGUGAUCUAGACGUGGCAUCCAACUGUGAGAGGUGUCCUAAUCUGUAACAGUCUACCUGAAGAGGCACAAAAAAUGUGUCUGGAAAUAAAAUGGUGUUCACCAGAAAGAAAUGAGUAAUUAUCUGAAGAGAAUUAUAGCAGUUAUCAAAUGAAAAAAGCCAUUAUAGUAUUAUUUUUUAAAAAUCCAUAUUAAAUUUUUUUCUACAGAUGGGGAAUGAAUACUGCACGAAUGCAAUUGAAUUCCGUUCACACAUUGUCUGAGUUUAAUAAGUUAUUUGCUGACCCUUCCAAAAAUAUUAAAGACGUAUAUCUUCCAACACCUUAAGUAGCCGCUAUUCAGUGGGAAUUCAGGAAGGAAUUUGUGUCUCAAGAUGCUUCAACCAAUGUAUUCCUCGCUUCCUUCACCACAGCUUGGGCACGCAUCAAGUUGUAUGAUGAAAUGGAGAAGUUAGGAAAGAGUGUUCUGUAUCACGAUACAGAUUCGAUCAUUUAUGCAAGCGAUGGCACGAACGAUCCUCCCUUGGGAAACUUUCUUUGAGAGUUCACGGAUGAACUGGAUGGUGACACUAUAACAACUUUUGUUUCUGGUGGACCAAAAAAUUAUGCCUUCAAAACAAAAAGUGGAGAAACAUGCUGCAAAGUUAAAGGCUUCACUUUAAGUUCCAUGAAUGUUAAAAAAUUAAAUUUUGAAGCCAUGGAGGCAUUGAUACAAAAUAUGGAUCUCGAAACAACAAUUCCUCUUGAAACCCCAAAUAAAAUCACCAGAGAUGCCAAAAGAAGAAAAGUUAUUAAUAAAAAAGAAAUAAAGGCAUACAGGAUGGUGUAUGAUAAGAGAAUUAUACGAAAAGACUAUUCCACACUUCCAUAUGGGUAUUAAGAACAAAAGUGAAAAUACCAUUUACUUUGUUUCAUAUCCAUAUGGUGUUUGUUCACUUGUUAAUAAUAUUAUCUUUUCGUUAAAAAAUAUCCUAUAAAUG